AUUGAACGCUGGCGGCAGGCCUAACACAUGCAAGUCGAGCGGAGCGGCGGACGGGUGAGUAAUGCCUAUGAAUCUGCCUGGUAGUGGGGGAUAACGUUCGGAAAUGGGCGCUAAUACUGCAUACUCUCAGAUGAGCCUAGGGCGGAUUAGCUAGUUGUUGGGGGAAAGGCCUACCAAGGCGACGAUCCGUAACUGGUCCGAGAGGAUGAUCAGUCACACUGGAACUGAGACACGGUCCAGACUCCUACGGGAGGCAGCAGUGGGGAAGAUUGCACAAUGGGCGAAAGCCUGAUCCAGCCAUGCCGCGUGUGUGAAGAAGGUCUUCGGGUUGUAAAGCACUUUAAGUUGGGAGGCGUUACCAGCAGAAGAAGCACCGGCUAACUUCGUGCCAGCAGCCGCGGUAAUAC
rnacentral:rRNA from 1 species